UACGAAGGGGGGCUAGCGUUGUUCGGAAUCACUGGGCGUAAAGCGCACGUAGGCGGAUGUGUCAGUCAGGGGUGAAAUCCCGGAGCUCAACUUCGGAACUGCCUCUGAUACAGCACGUCUUGAGUCCGGAAGAGGUGGGUGGAAUUCCUAGUGUAGAGGUGAAAUUCGUAGAUAUUAGGAAGAACACCGGUGGCGAAGGCGCCCACUGGUCCGGUACUGACGCUGAGG
rnacentral:rRNA from 1 species